rnacentral:rRNA from 1 species
AUUGAACGCUGGCGGCAGGCCUAACACAUGCAAGUCGAGCGGAGCGGCGGACGGGUGCGUAAGGCCUGGGAAUCUGCCUGGGAGUGGGGGAUAACGUCCGGAAACGGGCGCUAAUACCACAUACUAGAAGGUGAGCAUAGGUCGGAUUAGCUAGUUGGUGGGGUAAAGGCCUACCAAGGCGACGAGCCGUAACUGGUCUGAGAGGAUGAUCAGUCACACUGGAACUGAGACACGGUCCAGACUCCUACGGGAGGCAGCAGUGGGGAAUAUUGGGCAAUGGGCGAAAGCCUGAUCCAGCCAUGCCGCGUGUGUGAAGAAGGUCUUCGGAUUGUAAAGCACUUUAAGUUGGGAGGCGUUACCAACAGAAUAAGCGCCGGCUAACUACGUGCCAGCAGCCGCGGUAAUUC